UAAGCAUACUUACUCCGUAAAAUCACCGUAAAAUCACAAAGAACUCCUUGUCAUAGGUCUAUUCUUUGCAAGUUUAGUGUCAUAGAUAUAGGCUUAGCUAGCUAGAGUGUGAGGAGCUGUCUUGUGCGAAGGAAGAAGGAGCAUCACUCUUGUGAAAGAACAGACCUAGGUUCUCAAGUUUCUGCUAUCAGUGGCUACCUUUGAUUGAAUACACAAUUUAAUUAAUACAAGCGCUUGAUUAGACCAUUGAUUGCCAGAUACACUUGGUAGAGUCUAUCCUCAGACUCUGGCCAUCGAUCUCUUGUAUACUAUGCUCAGGGGUGUCCACAAGUGGCUGGGCCUGGGAUGUAUUGUCAAGCCUAUAGCCCAAUCCUUGGUAUCUGGAUCAAGAUAUGACAUUACGGCACUGGCACUGGUGUUGUGUUAGCCUCCUUCACCGGCCUUCAAGGAAGUGCGGCCUGGGAUCGUGGCUAGUUUGUGUGGACCAUCACUGAGCAAAAUGGAACCUUCCCCUCCAACCCCCGUCGUACUCCUCCUAGCUGAUGGGUGUGAACUCAUUGAAAGAGGAUGCCCCAGUGCCACUCGUGUCCUUCCCAAGGGUCCGAUCUUAUAGAACUACCUGCACUAAAACUACUGACGUGGAAUGGCUCUUUCAACACUUGUGGUUGCUAUCCUGACCAGUGAUGUCAGGAUUCUACUGUCUCUUGAUGCACUGUGAACACACAAUCUUUGUUAUGCCACCUGAAGGCUUAGCAGGCAUAUCCAACGCAGUAUUUAUUCAGUCUUCCUGGAAGCUCUUGUUUGAGAUCUUCGCUUCUAAACAUCUGCAUUUAUUAUGGACGCAGUACUGCUGUGCACAGUAUUAAUUUCUAGUGUCAUUAUAUCAUUAUUUUUAGCCAACUGUGAUAAUUAAACUGAAGAUUUUACAGUACAUAGUUGAUACUUACCAGUUUCCGGUCACGCCCAGAUACAAUCAAUACCAGGCCGAGGAGGCGACC